rnacentral:rRNA from 1 species
AAUAGAUACCCCGGUAGUCCACGCCGUAAACGAUGAGUGCUAAGUGUUAGGGGGUUUCCGCCCCUUAGUGCUGCAGCUAACGCAUUAAGCACUCCGCCUGGGGAGUACGGUCGCAAGACUGAAACUCAAAGGAAUUGACGGGGGCCCGCACAAGCGGUGGAGCAUGUGGUUUAAUUCGAAGCAACGCGAAGAACCUUACCAGGUCUUGACAUCCCAUUGACCACUAUGGAGACAUAGUUUUCCCUUCGGGGACAACGGUGACAGGUGGUGCAUGGUUGUCGUCAGCUCGUGUCGUGAGAUGUUGGGUUAAGUCCCGCAACGAGCGCAACCCUUGUUCUUAGUUGCCAUCAUUUAGUUGGGCACUCUAAGGAGACUGCCGGUGACAAACCGGAGGAAGGUGGGGAUGACGUCAAAUCAUCAUGCCCCUUAUGACCUGGGCUACACACGUGCUACAAUGGACGGUACAAACGGUUGCCAACCCGCGAGGGGGAGCUAAUCCGAUAAAACCGUUCUCAGUUCGGAUUGUAGGCUGCAACUCGCCUACAUGAAGACC